rnacentral:rRNA from 1 species
AGCAGCGCGGUAAUUCCAGCUCCAAUAGCGUAUAUAAAGUUGUUGCAGUUAAAAGCUCGAGUUGAAUUUUCGGGUCAGUAGGUUGGUCGUGCCACCGGUACGUACUGGUCUCACUGAUUCCUCCUUCCUGAUGAGCUGUAAUGCAUAAUUGUGUGCAGGAAUCUGGACUGUUACUUUGAAAAAUUAGAGUGUUUUAAAGCAGGCUAACG